AUCCCAUGAUGAGGGCACCUACAGAGUAACUCCUUGAAUCUUUCCCAUGCCUUAUAUAAGGAAUCAUCAUCCAAUUGGUGAAAAGUGGUGAUCUCAUUCCGCAACUU
rfam:Gossypium hirsutum cultivar TM-1 chromosome 9, whole genome shotgun sequence